GGGGAUGCAAGGCAUAGACAGUUGGCCUAUUGCUCCCGAUGCAUGCCGAGCAUGGACUUAAUCUCGUAAAACCUAGUUCAAUAGUUAAUUGCAAAAUUGACUUCCACAACUAAAGCAGUUCGCGGAUACUUCGGUGUCAACGACUUUGCUCUAGUUCCAGCUUUCGCGUAAGCCAAAACUGGUGUCCCUACCGUAGACUUCCGAUAUACGAAUAGGGGCAUAAUAUUAUCGGGAUAGGAGAAAGAGCUUCCCGACUUCUCUCCAAAACAAAGGGAAUCGACCGUGAAAUAUUUGGCUCGCUUAUUAAUUUCAGGGUUUAAACCAAAAAGCGCGCUACGCAUGUAGACUUCUGGACAAAAACCUUCUGCACGGGGAUUCGAUUUCCCCCAUCUCCACAA
rnacentral:tmRNA from 1 species